GAUGAACGCUGGCGGCGUGCCUAAUACAUGCAAGUCGAGCGAACGGACGAGAAGCUUGCUUUUCUGAUGUUAGCGGCGGACGGGUGAGUAACACGUGGAUAACCUACCUAUAAGACUGGGAUAACUUCGGGAAACCGGAGCUAAUACCGGAUAAUAUUUUGAACCGCAUGGUGCAAAAGUGAAAGACGGUCUUGCUGUCACUUAUAGAUGGAUCCGCGCUGCAUUAGCUAGUUGGUAAGGUAACGGCUUACCAAGGCAACGAUGCAUAGCCGACCUGAGAGGGUGAUCGGCCACACUGGAACUGAGACACGGUCCAGACUCCUACGGGAGGCAGCAGUAGGGAAUCUUCCGCAAUGGGCGAAAGCCUGACGGAGCAACGCCGCGUGAGUGAUGAAGGUCUUCGGAUCGUAAAACUCUGUUAUUAGGGAAGAACAUAUGUGUAAGUAACUGUGCACAUCUUGACGGUACCUAAUCAGAAAGCCACGGCUAACUACGUG
rnacentral:rRNA from 1 species